UUAGUCAAAAACACCGUUUGACAAGGACUCCAACCUCUAGGACUUUAGUUAAACAUCUUUUAACUGGGACGUUUUCCGGGGGGCUUUAUAUCAUUAAAACGUAAACAGUGAGAAAGAGAAAUAAAAAGAAAUUAAUAAAUAGAUAAAAACUAAAGAUAAAAACAU